rnacentral:rRNA from 1 species
UACGGAGGGAGCUAGCGUUGUUCGGAAUUACUGGGCGUAAAGCGCGCGUAGGCGGUUACUCAAGUCAGAGGUGAAAGCCCGGGGCUCAACCCCGGAACUGCCUUUGAAACUAGGUGACUAGAAUCUUGGAGAGGUCAGUGGAAUUCCGAGUGUAGAGGUGAAAUUCGUAGAUAUUCGGAAGAACACCAGUGGCGAAGGCGACUGACUGGACAAGUAUUGACGCUGAGGCACGAAAGCGUGGGGAGCAAACAGG